CCGGACCGGCGCACGGGUGAGUAACACGUAUGCAACCUGGCCGUCACAGGUGGAUAACCGGAAGAAAUUCCGACUAAUACAGCAUAACACUCCUGAGGGACAUCCUUCGGGAGUCAAAGGAGGCAACUCCGGUGACGGAUGGGCAUGCGGCGCAUUAGGUAGUUGGUAGGGUAACGGCCUACCAAGCCGACGAUGCAUAGGGGUUCUGAGAGGAAGGUCCCCCACAUUGGAACUGAGACACGGUCCAAACUCCUACGGAAGGCAGCAG
rnacentral:rRNA from 1 species